GGAGGGUGCGAGCGUUGUUCGGAUUUAUUGGGCGUAAAGGGCGUGUAGGCGGUCAGAUAAGUCUGGUGUGAAAGCCCUUGGCUUAACCAAGGAAUGUCGCUGGAAACUGUCUGACUUGAGUACGAGAGAGGAGAGUGGAAUUCCCGGUGUAGAGGUGAAAUUCGUAGAUAUCGGGAGGAACACCGGUGGCGAAGGCGGCUCUCUGGCUCGAUACUGACGCUGAGACGCGAAAGCGUGGGGAGCAAACAGGGAUUAGAUACCCUGGUAGUCCACGCCGUAAACGUUGGGCACUAGGUGUGGGAGGUAUCAACUCCUUCUGUGCCGAAGCUAACGCAUUAAGUGCCCCCGCCUGGGAACUACGGCCGCAAGGCUG
rnacentral:rRNA from 1 species